AGGUUCCCCAGGAAUGUACAUGGAAUAAUUUUAUAGCCAUCAAAAAUCCCCAGUGCUUCACCUUUUUAACCCUCCCUCAUCUCCAAACCCCUGGUAACCACAGGCUUUGCCAUCUCUAUAGUUUUACCUUUUCCAGAAUGUCACAUAAGUGGAAUAAUACAGUAUGUAGGCCUCUCGGACUGUCUUCUUUCACUUAGCAACAUGCACUUAAGAUGGAUGCAUCAAUGUUGUUGUGUAGAGUUAUUAAUUGUUCUUUUGGAUUUAUCCUUUAUUUUACCUAAUUCUUCUAUGAUUUCAGUUUUUACAAUUAACUCUUUAGUCAAUUUGGUAUUUACACCAACAAUAAUUUUAACAAGCAAAAAAUAUAAAUAAAAUUAUUUUAUAUGGUACUACAGUGGUGGAUACAUGACACUGCCAAUAUAGAUAGAAUUCUCUUGUUCUUGUAUUGGUAGCAUUUACAAUGAACAAAAGCAUAUUAAUGACUCGGAGAGGUACUGCAGUAAAGAAACCUGUUAGGGCCAGGCACAGUGGCUCACGCUUGUAAUCCCAGCACUUUGCGGGGCCAGGGCGGGUGGACUGCUUGAGGCCAGGAGUUCAAAACCAGCCUGGCCAACAUGGCCAAAUCCCAUCUCUACUAAAAACACAAAAAUUAGCUGGGCAUGGUGACACACGCCUGCAAUUCCAGCUACUCAGGAGCCUGAGGCACGAGAAUUGCUUGAAUACAUGAAGCGGAGGUUGCAGUGAGCCAAGAUUGCACCACUGCACUCCAGCCUGGGUGACACAGCAAGACUCUGUUUCAAAAAAGAAAAAAAAAGAAACCUGUUUGACUUCAUUAGCAUAUCCCAAAUGUAUUUGACUUUGGGUUUUCCCACCCCAUGGUGGAAUUUUUGAUUUGUGGAAUACAGCCUGGACUUGCUGGUAUCAGGUGUUUCUGGAUGGUGUCUGUUCUGACUGGUCUGUGCUUGAGCCAUACUGGUUGUUAUAUAUUCUUAAUGUCAUCUUUUGGAAUAUACAGGCAUAACCUGGAGAUAUUUUGGGUUUGGGUGCAGACCACUGCAAUAAAGUGAAUAUCACAAUAAAGCAAGUCACACAAUUUUUUUUUGGUUUUCCAGUGCAUAUAAAAGUUAUGUUUACAUUAUACUGUAGUCUAUUAAGUUUACAAUAGCAUCAUGUCUAAAUACUGUACAUAUUUUAAUUA
rnacentral:lncRNA from 10 species